rnacentral:rRNA from 1 species
AGUGAACGCUGGCGGUAGGCCUAACACAUGCAAGUCGAACGGCAGCACAGUAAGAGCUUGCUCUUACGGGUGGCGAGUGGCGGACGGGUGAGGAAUACAUCGGAAUCUACUUUUUCGUGGGGGAUAACGUAGGGAAACUUACGCUAAUACCGCAUACGACCUACGGGUGAAAGCAGGGGAUCUUCGGACCUUGCGCGAUUGAAUGAGCCGAUGUCGGAUUAGCUAGUUGGCGGGGUAAAGGCCCACCAAGGCGACGAUCCGUAGCUGGUCUGGGAGGAUGGUCAGCCACACUGGAACUGAGACACGGUCCAGACUCCUACGGGAGGCAGCAGUGGGGAAUAUUGGACAAUGGGCGCAAGCCUGAUCCAGCCAUACCGCGUGGGUGAAGAAGGCCUUCGGGUUGUAAAGCCCUUUUGUUGGGAAAGAAAAGCAGCAGGUUAAUACCCCGCUGUUCUGACGGUACCCAAAGAAUAAGCACCGGCCAACUUCGUG